GGCGCACAGCUCCGGCCUUUGCGCAGCCGCCGCACGCGGAUCUUCAGCUCCCGCGGGAACCGCCGCCAAUCUGGGUUCCACUCGAUGGCCCCAUCUAUGGGGCUGGACAGUUGGUAUUUAUCCGAGUAGCGCUCGAUGUCUCUGUGUGGGGCGCCGGGGCGGACGAAGUAGGGGAGCCCCUUCAUGGCCCCCCGCAGCUCCUGCUUCAGCGCCAGCAUAUACUCC
rnacentral:lncRNA from 1 species